UACAGAGGUCCCAAGCGUUGUUCGGAUUCACUGGGCGUAAAGGGUGCGUAGGUGGCAGGGUAAGUUUGAUGUGAAAUCUCCGGGCUUAACCCGGAAACUGCAUUGAAUACUAUCCUGCUAGAGGAUUGGAGGGGGGACUGGAAUUCUCGGUGUAGCAGUGAAAUGCGUAGAUAUCGAGAGGAACACCAGUGGCGAAGGCGAGUCCCUGGACAAUACCUGACACUGAGGCACGAAAGCUAGGGGAGCAAACAGG
rnacentral:rRNA from 1 species